rnacentral:lncRNA from 1 species
CUUAGGCCUAGGGCGCCAAGAUUUUACCAGAAGGCAGUAUGGGGCAACCCUCUGAACGAACCCAAAGGCAGUAUGGGGCAACCCUCUGAACGAACCCAAAUGUCAAGGCCAAGUAGAGGUGAGGGAGAGAAGCUCUAGUGACAAGCACUUUGGGGGCAGUCACUGGGUCUCACACCCCUUGUACCUUAACUGACUCCUUGUGUAAUGCUACAAACGGAUGGAUAUGACCAUACUCUCAAAAGAAGUAACGUAACACACAAGGGCCACACUUCUCAUUCCCACUCUAGUGUUCCUGCUGUGAAAGAGUUGGAGUAAUAUUCUAUGGAGGUGAGGGAUGGGACUUUUCUUUCAUACCUAAUUGUAUUUCUGGAAGACUGCCAGCUUUCCAGACAGACACUUGAUCUGAGUAUUCAUUGACUGCCCUUCGCCGUGGGAAGGAGAGGACAUUCCUUCUGAAAAGAUAUGAGCAACGAGAAACUUAAUUUUCGGAGCCUAUGAUUCGGACAUAUAGGAACUGGGAGAAGACUCAUUCAGGGGACAGAGGAAGGAUUGAGGUCUUCUGCUUCAUAUAGACACAGAAUCUGUAACUUCUUCAGUAGUGUUCCCUCCAAGACUUCCCUGAAAAACACCAUAGAUAACAUUGUGCCAAUUGAUCAUCCCUGAUACUACUGAUAACAUUUACAUGAAGGUUUCCCCUGUACCACCCCUUCUCCACCAUCUCAUUUUCAUUUCUUCCUUCCAGAAGCUGUCUGCACUUGCAUAACUUAAUAAAAUGGUGAUUGCUAGUUGAUCCUUAUAUUGUUUAGAAAAGAUAGAAUCAGUCAACUCCUCCAAAUAAACAGGAGAAGGAUAUACAAAGAAUGCCAGUGUUGGUGAGAUGUUUAUGCCACAGUUUCUCCAAUGCAUUUUAGGGGGGCUCAUCAUAUUAGGGGCUCUAACGUGGAGGCAACACCACUGGGUGGUCAUUACAAGGAAUGUGACUAUAUUGCCCCCUCGUGGUUGUAAUGCAUAAAUGCUGAACAAGACCUGAAACCCCCUAAACAAAAAUAAG